UUUUUUUUUUUUUUUUUUUUUUUUUUUUGAGACAGAGUCUCGCUCUGUCGCCCAAGCUGGAAUGCAGUGGUGCUAUCUCGGCUCACUGCAAGCUCCGCCUCCCAGGUUCCCGCCAUUCUCCUGCCUCAGCCUCCUGAGUAGCUGGGACCACAGGCGCCCGCUGCCACGCCCGGCUAAUUUUUUGUAUUUUUGGUAGAGAUGGGGUUUCACUGUGUCAGCCAGGAUGGUCUCGAUCUCCUGACCUUGUGAUCCACCCACCUCGGCCUCCCAAAGUGCUGGGAUUACAGGCCUGAGCCACCACGCUCGGCGCCCAUUUUACAUUUCAAUGCAGUCAUAUUAUUAAUCUUUUCUUUCAUAGGAAUGCUUUUUGUCAUGUGUUUAAGCAAUGUCUCUUAUUCAAAAACCCUAAAGAUAUUCCUCUGUAUUUAAUUUCAAAAGUUUCGAAGUUUAUUUUUUUUCACAGUGAGGUCUUGAAUCCACCAUGGUUUUUAUUAUGGAAAUUUAAAUUUACCUUUUUCUGUUUUCCUAGCACAAUAUAUGAACACAUGCAUUCUUUUCCCAUUGGUAGUAACAGCAUGCUCAAGCACAUCCCACCUCCCCAUAAGCACACAAAUGCACUGAGAGUUGCUUCCGUUGGUCUAGCAAUCUACCUUGGCCCCAAGGCAAUCCUGAUUCCACACUGCAGCCUUGUGUUUUGCAAGGAAGAAACCUUCCUUGCUCUUCCCCUUCAGAACUGCCAUGGCUCUUUUUUUUUUUUUUUUUCCCAAGACGGAGUCUUGCUCUGUUGCACAGGCUGGAGUGCAAGUGAGACCCUGUCUCAAAAAUAAAUAAAUAAAUAAAUAAAAUGAUGAUGACAUGCGUUAUGACUUUUAAAUUUAUUUCUUAGCUUGUAAAACAAUAAUUUGGCAAUCACGUCAUGCCACCUAUUCCAAAACCAUUUUACACCAGGUGAACCCAGCAGCCUGGGCGCCACGGUCCUGUGCUGCGCCACUGAGCGGCCGAGCAUGCUGCAGCCAUAGCUUCUGAACUCCCCCAUGGCCACACCAAGCCCCUGGUGGUCUGUGUUCCCCCUGGUGCCGUGCCUCAUGUUUUCAGGCCUCAAAGCCUUUGCAGGUGCAGUGGCCUCCGCCGGGAAUGCC
rnacentral:lncRNA from 1 species